UUACAGCCAUAACGCGUUGAAAGACCAGUUCUCAUACGAUCAUUGAAGUUAAGCAAUGUUGAGCUUGAUCGGUGCCUAGAUGGGUGACCGCUUGGGAAUACCACGUGCUGUA